rnacentral:rRNA from 1 species
AGUCGUAACAAGGUCUCCGUAGGUGAACCUGCGGAGGGAUCAUUACACAAAUAUGAAGGCGGGCUGGAACCUCUCGGGGUUACAGCCUUGCUGAAUUAUUCACCCUUGUCUUUUGCGUACUUCUUGUUUCCUUGGUGGGUUCGCCCACCACUAGGACAAACAUAAACCUUUUGUAAUUGCAAUCAGCGUCAGUAACAAAUUAAUAAUUACAACUUUCAACAACGGAUCUCUUGGUUCUGGCAUCGAUGAAGAACGCAGCGAAAUGCGAUAAGUAGUGUGAAUUGCAGAAUUCAGUGAAUCAUCGAAUCUUUGAACGCACAUUGCGCCCUUUGGUAUUCCAAAGGGCAUGCCCGUUCGAGCGUCAUUUGUACCCUCAAGCUUUGCUUGGUGUUGGGCGUCUUGUCUCUAGCUUUGCUGGAGACUCGCCUUAAAGUAAUUGGCAGCCGGCCUACUGGUUUCGGAGCGCAGCACAAGUCGCACUCUCUAUCAGCAAAGGUCUAGCAUCCAUUAAGCCAUUUUUUUCAACUUUUGACCUCGGAUCAGGUAGGGAUACCCGCUGAACUA